AGUGAACGCUGGCGGUAGGCCUAACACAUGCAAGUCGAACGGCAGCACAGUAAGAUCUUGCUCUUACGGGUGGCGAGUGGCGGACGGGUGAGGAAUACAUCGUACUCUACUUUUUCGUGGGGGAUAACGUAGGGAAACUUACGCUAAUAUCGCAUACGACCUACGGGUGAAAGCAGUGGAUCUUCGCACCUUGCGCGAUUGAAUGAGCCGAUGUCGGAUUAGCUAGUUGGCGGGGUAAAGGCCCACCAAGGCGACGAUCCGUAGCUGGUCUGAGAGGAUGAUCAGCCACACUGGAACGGAGACACGGUCCAGACUCCUACGGGAGGCAGCAGUGGGGAAUAUUGGACAAUGGGCGCAAGCAUGAUACAGCCAUAGCGCGUGGGUGAAGAAGGCCUUCGGGUUGUAAAGACCUUUUGUUGGGAAAGAAAAGCAGCAGGUUAAUACCCAGCUGUUCUGACGGUAACCAAAGAAUAAGCACCGGCUAACUUCGUG
rnacentral:rRNA from 1 species